rnacentral:lncRNA from 1 species
GAGGACAGUGUUUGGUGUCAAAUGAUCCCUGAAGAUUCUCUGAGUUCUUCUUCAUACCAACUGGUAGAGAUAAAUCAAUUCUCUUAACCACAUGGCAGGACAUGAGACUGUGGCAUGCCCACCAAGUGCAUACAGGGACUCCAAGGAGAAAUCAGACAAGCUUAAGUACAGAGCAUCCCAGAAGUUGUCUAAGGAGAGAAGCAGAAUUGUGAAGGAUACCCCUCCCCAAACUCAAACUCCAAGGAAGACUUCCAGCCUGUCAUCCCAUUGCCCCUUUCUAGAACCCCGUGACAAUGACAUGCCUUUCCUUCUCGGACUUACGCUUUCCAUCCUCUGUACACGGUUUUCCAGCCCUACGAUCUGCCCGUGUUUUUCCUCCAGUUUUUCUGAAAGUAGAUUCAGGCUUUCGGCGCUUCCCUUUAAUGCCUGCUCUUUCUCAAUGUUGUUGACCUGUGGUCAGAAAAACAAGUUGCUGGAUUUUUCUUUUGACUCUUUGUCUAAAACAAAACUGCAACGUCUUGUAUAUCCAAUUAAAAAGUGUUUUCUUUUCUUAUCAGAAAAU